CGGACUCAACGCCGGGAAACUCACCAGAUAAGACAGCUGAAUGAUAGUCGGGCUGAAGACUCUACUUGACUAGCUGAGAGGAGGUGCAUGGCCGUCGUCAGCUCGUACUGUGAAGCAUCCUGUUAAGUCAGGCAACGAGCGAGACCCACGCCAACAGUUGCCAGCUCGUCCUCCGGGAUGGUGGGGACACUGUUGGGACCGCCUCUGCUAAAGAGGAGGAAGGAAUGGGCAACGGUAGGUCAGCAUGCCCCGAAUUAUCUGGGCUACACGCGGGCUACAAUGGGUGGGACAAUGGGUAUCGACACCGAAAGGUGAAGGCAAUCUCCUAAACCCAUCCGUAGUUCGGAUUGUGGGCUGCAACUCGCCCACAUGAAGCUGGAAUCUGUAGUAAUCGUGUCUCAAAAUGGCACGGUGAAUAUGUCCCUGCUCCUU
rnacentral:rRNA from 1 species